rnacentral:rRNA from 1 species
UACGUAGGGGGCUAGCGUUGCCCGGAAUUAUUGGGCGUAAAGCGCGCGUAGGCGGAUUGUUAAGUCGGGGGUGAAAUCCUGGAGCUCAACUCCGGAACUGCCUUCGAUACUGGCGAUCUAGAGUCCGGGAGAGGUGAGUGGAACUGCGAGUGUAGAGGUGAAAUUCGUAGAUAUUCGCAAGAACACCAGUGGCGAAGGCGGCUCACUGGCCCGGUACUGACGCUGAGGCACGAAAGCGUGGGGAGCAAACAGG